UGUACGUCAGAACGGUAUAAGCGCGUGGCCUUCGUAAAACGAGGAUAAACGAGAGGAAUCGUAUAAGGAACGCAUUCACUCGUGAACUUUCGUAGAGUAAGGAAACGAAAAACGUUGAUUAUUGGAAGUGAGAAAUACUAUUGACUUACAUGUGUCGAGGAAGGUACCCAGGCAAUUAGCCAGCAGCUAGUCAGUCAGUCAGUCAGUCAUUCAGAUCAAACAACCAACUAACCAACAAGUAAAACGUGAAGUUAAAUCUACAAAUUGUGUGUUAACAAAGUUUAUUGUUGUUAUUAUUAU